GGUUGUGUAGUGUAGCGGUUAUCACUUUGGAUUUUGAUUAGCCGUCUGAAUUCCAAUAACCCGAGUUCGAAUCUCGGCACGACCU